rnacentral:tRNA from 1 species
GGCGCUGUGGCUUAGUUGGUUAAAGCGCCUGUCUAGUAAACAGGAGAUCCUGGGUACAAAUCCCAGCAGUGCCU